rnacentral:lncRNA from 1 species
UAGUAAUUAAUUAGAAAUUUUGGAUCAAUUUGACGUAUUUUAGAUUGAUGUGUUGUUAAUUUAUUUUAUAUUUUAUACAUUUCAUUGAAAAUUUUUAAUUUUCUCUAUGAUUUUUCUUAUUUUGUAAAAAAAAAAAGUUUAGAAGAAAAUGAGUGAGAGAAAAUAUUACUGCACUGGUAGAUUGAGUUGAGUUUUAAAGAGGAAGAAGAUAGCUAUUAAAAAUUUUUUGAGAAGACAUUUCUAUACGAUUAUAACAAUUAGGGCUUUUGUAAAAAUAUAUUUGUGAUAGCAAAAUUGAUAUUUUACUUAUCUACUGUUAAAAAAUAAGCCGUUCUCUAAAGGUAACAAACCAAAGAGGCAAGUAUGAAUAUCACCGGACUUUUAUAAGGAUAAGAGUAAAGUAUUUAUUAUAUAUUAUAGAGAUUGGUUUGG